rnacentral:rRNA from 1 species
AACAAACGCUGGCGGCGUGCCUAAUACAUGCAAGUCGAACGGGGAAAGCUUUCGGGUGAGUACUAGUGGCGCACGGGUGAGGAACGCGUGGAUAAUCUGCCUUAGAGUGGGGGAUAACUAGUCGAAAGAUUAGCUAAUACCGCAUAAGACCACAAGAUCUGCGGAUCAAGGGGUCAAAGGUUUUUCGCUCUAAGAUGAGUCCGCGUAAGAUUAGCUAGUUGGUGAGGUAACGGCUCACCAAGGCGACGAUCUUUAGCUGGUCUGAGAGGAUGAUCAGUCACACUGGAACUGAGACACGGUCCAGACUCCUACGGGAGGCAGCAGUAGGGAGUAUUGCACAAUGGAGGAAACUCUGAUGCAGCGACGCCGCGUGAGUGAUGAAGGCCUUCGGGUCGUAAAGCUCUGUCGCAGGGGAAUAACACAAUGAAGGUACCCUGUAAGAAAGGAUCGGCUAACUUCGUGCCAGCCGCCGCGGUAACAC